AAAAUUUCUAUCUGACACAUAAAAAUUCAUAAAUAAUUGAUCUUAUGUUAAAAAAUUCUAAAUUUAUAUCGGAGAUGUUCUUAUAAUAUUAUAAACAUAAAUACAAAAAACCAUUAAAAAAUGUGACAGUAUACAAGAGCUUAAUUAAAAGUAGGGACUAAAAACACUGGCGGAAAAAAUUUCAGGGACUAAAAAGUGCGAA
rnacentral:lncRNA from 1 species